AACGAACGCUGGCGGCAUGCCUAACACAUGCAAGUCGAACGAGACCUUCGGGUCUAGUGGCGCACGGGUGCGUAACGCGUGGGAACCUGCCCUUAGGUUCGGAAUAACUCCCCGAAAGGGGUGCUAAUACCGGAUAAUGUCUUCGGACCAAAGAUUUAUCGCCUUUGGAUGGGCCCGCGUUGGAUUAGCUAUUUGGUAAGGUAAAAGCCUACCACGGCGACGAUCCAGAGCUGGUCUGAGAGGAUGAUCAGCCACACUGGAACUGAGACACGGCCCAGACGCCGAGGGGAGGCAGCAGUAGGGAAUCUUCCGCAAUGGGCGAAAGCGUGACGGAGCAACGCAGCGUGAGUGAUGAAGGUCUUCGGAUCGUAAAACUCUGUUAUUAGGGAAGAACAAAUGUGUAAGUAACUAUGCACGUCUUGACGGUACCUAAUCAGAAAGCCACGGCUAACUACGUG
rnacentral:rRNA from 1 species